CUUCUGUUGGUGCAAAUAUAGAGAUAGGAGGGAAUCAAACAGCCUCUCUUAACCUCUCUCCUGUGCUCCUGUGAAAGCGUCCCUUCCAUUUGGCAAUGUGCCCAGAGGAGUCUGCAAAGCUGCUAUUAAGGAAGGGCUGUGGAAGGAACUGGUCGAGGAAUGACGUGAGGCUUGAAGGACUGCCUGAGCUGGAGCUUGCAGCCAAACCUCUGUGCCCUGCAGCACCAGCUAGUCCAUCUCCCCAACUCUGGCUGAGUCCUGUUGAAACCUGUUUGUACUGGAGGCCUCCACAUUAUCUGGUGCCAAUGAGUUCCCCGGUUCAAUUACGUAUGUGAAACAGCACAAAAAUCUUGAAAAAAAUCAGCCAGACGAAAGAGUGCUUAACAACCUGCGUUAGCAGCUGAGAGGGGUUCACAGAUAUAAAGGUGUUGGUUAUAUCUCAAGAUGAGAAGUGAGGCAAAAUCCACAAGGAAAGCCAGGCAGCCUUUCUUCAAGAGGUCGUUUGCAUCCAGGACGUGUACAAAUCUCUUUACAUUUAUUUAGAAACUAAGGCAAUUAAAACACCCCAGGCCCCUCCUAUUAACUCAGAAACAUCAUUAUGAAGAUGCUUAUGCCACAGCGGCUUACUACGCUCGGUUUACUGGAAAACUGGAAAGCUGCAUUUUCAGCCAUUUGAUCAACAAUUUCCCGAGGUUGUUAAUGACUUGCAAAAAUCUACCCAACAGUAACAACCUCAGGGAGACCCCGCGUUGUCUCCUCUGAGAACCCUUUUUGUUUUCAGAAUGAGAAAUUUAAUUAGGCAAGGUUUUUUUUGGCAGAGGAGUUCAUGCCUUGCGCCCUCAACAAGCAAACCCUGUGUGGCUGCCCAGCGCCACCCGGGAGCCUGAGCCUUGGCAGAGCCGAGGACCUACUGGGGCAAAGGAAAUUAAUCGAUUUUAAAGUAGUUCCCACCGCGUUUUCCCCUUGUUGGGCAAGUUGCUACUUCUUCUACAUGAAGACCUUUGCUUCAUUUUACUCCGAGUAGAAAACAAGAGUCUCUGCCUGACUGGUUGCACUGCACUCCUCCCUUUCCCUCCUUUGCCAAGAUGUGUCUGUAGGCAUGCUCCCCAAGUUAUUUUAAAGACAGGCUGGCAGUAAGGCACUCACAGUCAAAGGAGAGGAAAAAGAUGAAGACAGAUAUUUGCUCUUUGCUGGCAGGGGACAGCAAGCCACUGGAAAAGUGCCCCUUUGGAGGAUAAGAGAGACUCUUCCUCUUUGGCUGGCAGAGUAACACACACAGCUCCCAGCUCUCCAAAGGGAAAACAACUGCCUGUAGGUGCAAUAUUCUGUUCAUGGGGGAAACAGAGAAGCUUUGCCCUGAAUCUUGCAGGACAAUUUGUUGCCUGAAAGGAUCCACCGAGAUGCAAGAAGCUCUGUUUAGAAACGGACAUAUCCAGCCUGGAGCAUGGGGAGACAGUAAAGCAUCUGUUUGACUUCCUCAACGGGUUUGCUGUGUGUAAAUCAUUUAUCCCUGCUCCUGGUCCCCUUCCUUGACUCUCACAAUUUGUAUUUUUGUGUUAAAAAAAGCGAUGCUUGCCUUUCUGUUGGCGAGCAGCUUGGGA